rnacentral:rRNA from 1 species
AUGGUUAGUGGCGGACGGGUGAGUAACACGUAGGCAACCUGCCCACAAGAUCGGGAUAACAUUCGGAAACGGAUGCUAAGACCGGAUGCACAAGCAUGCCGCAUGGCGAGCUUGGGAAACACGGCGUAAGCUGUGGCUUGUGGAUGGGCCUGCGGCGCAUUAGCUAGUUGGUGGGGUAACGGCUCACCAAGGCGACGAUGCGUAGCCGACCUGAGAGGGUGAACGGCCACACUGAGACUGAGACACGGCCCAGACUCCUACGGGAGGCAGCAGUAGGGAAUCUUCCACAAUGGGCGAAAGCCUGAUGGAGCAACGCCGCGUGAGUGAGGAAGGCUUUCGGGUCGUAAAGCUCUGUUGCCAGGGAAGAAUAAGGAUGAGAGUAACUGCUCAUCCGAUGACGGUACCUGAGAAGAAAGCCCCGGCUAACUACGUGCCAGCAGCCGCGGUAAUACGUAGGGGGCAAGCGUUGUCCGGAAUUAUUGGGCGUAAAGCGCGCGCAGGCGGUUCUUUAAGUCUGGUGUCUAAGUGCGGGGCUCAACCCCGUGAUGCACUGGAAACUGGGGAACUUGAGUGCAGAAGAGGAGAGCGGAAUUCCACGUGUAGCGGUGAAAUGCGUAGAGAUGUGGAGGAACACCAGUGGCGAAGGCGGCUCUCUGGACUGUAACUGACGCUGAGGCGCGAAAGCGUGGGGAGCAAACAGGAUUGGAUACCCUGGUAGUCCACGCUGUAAACGAUGAGUGCUAGGUGUUGGGGGUAUCAUGCCCUCGGUGCCGAAGUUAACACAUUAAGCACUCCGCCUGGGGAGUACGGUCGCAAGACUGAAACUCAAAGGAAUUGACGGGGACCCGCACAAGCAGUGGAGUAUGUGGUUUAAUUCGAAGCAACGCGAAG